UACAGAGGGUGCAAGCGUUAAUCGGAGUUACUGGGCGUAAAGGGCGCGUAGGCGGUCAUUUAAGUUAGAUGUGAAAUCCCUGGGCUUAACCUAGGAACUGCAUCUGAUACUGGGUGACUGGAGUAUUGUAGAGGGUAGUGGAAUUUCCGGUGUAGCGGUGAAAUGCGUAGAGAUCGGAAGGAACACCAGUGGCGAAGGCGGCUACCUGGACAAAUACUGACGCUGAGGCGCGAGAGCGUGGGGAGCAAACAGG
rnacentral:rRNA from 1 species